UACAGAGGGGGCAAGCGUUAUUCGGAAUUAUUGGGCGUAAAGGGCGCGUAGGCGGCCAUUCAAGUGACGGGUGAAAGCCCUCGGCUUAACCGAGGAACUGCCUGUCAGACUGGAUGGCUUGAGACCGGGAGAGGUGAGUGGAAUUCCCAGUGUAGCGGUGAAAUGCGUAGAUAUUGGGAGGAACACCAGUGGCGAAGGCGGCUCACUGGACCGGAACUGACGCUGAGGCGCGAAAGCGUGGGGAGCAAACCGG
rnacentral:rRNA from 1 species